rnacentral:rRNA from 1 species
UACGAGAGGCCCAAACGUUAUUCGGAUUUACUGGGCUUAAAGAGUUCGUAGGCGGCUUGGUAAGUGGGGUGUGAAAGCCCUCGGCUCAACCGAGGAAUUGCGCUCCAAACUACCGAGCUUGAGUGAGACAGAGGUAAGCGGAACUUCGGGUGGAGCGGUGAAAUGCGUUGAUAUCCGAAGGAACACCGGUGGCGAAAGCGGCUUACUGGGUCUCAACUGACGCUGAUGCACGAAAGCCAGGGUAGCAAACGGG